AAGUCGUAACAAGGUUUCCGUAGGUGAACCUGCGGAAGGAUCAUUAACGAACUUGAAAUCGGGAGUCUGUUGCUGGUGCGGAAACGUACAUCGUGCACGGCUUCUGUGUUCAAUUCAACCCCUGUGCACCUCAUCGAAGCCGGUAGUCCCUUUAUCUUCUUCGUUUUGCCGGUCGCGUGCGGUGCGGAUCGCGAGUAGCGAGUAAGGCGAACGCAACUCCGGUUGUCAGUAGCUUGAAACCGAAAGUGGUCUGUCUUCACGUUCGGCCGGCGAGAGGGGGGAGAGGUCGAGGGUCGAAAGCUUUGACUUGCUAUUAAACGCUUUGUAUGUCUUGUGGAAUGUAUUAGCUCCUUCGUGGGCGAAAUAAAUACAACUUUCAACAACGGAUCUCUUGGCUCUC
rnacentral:misc_RNA from 1 species